rnacentral:tRNA from 1 species
GGUGAUAUAGCUCAGUGGUAGAGCACAUGCUUAGCAUGCGUGAGGUCGUGGGUUCAAUCCCCAGUACCUUCA